CAGUAGCCGCGGGGAUACGGAGGAUCCGAGCGUUAUCCGGAAUUAUUGGGUUUAAAGGGUGCGUAGGCGGAUAGAUAAGUCAGUGGUGAAAGACGGUGGCUCAACCAUCGCAGUGCCGUUGAUACUGUUUAUCUUGAAUAUGGAUGAGGUAGGCGGAAUGUGGCAAGUAGCGGUGAAAUGCAUAGAUAUGCCACAGAACACCGAUUGCGAAGGCAGCUUACCAAGGCAAAAUUGACGCUGAGGCACGAAAGCGUGGGGAUCGAACAGGAUUAGAUACCCGAGUAGUCCCUGUCUCUUAUAC
rnacentral:rRNA from 1 species